rnacentral:lncRNA from 1 species
UAGAAAGAAAAUCACACAUAUAUACCAUUACCUCAUCGAUAUGGCAUGUUACCCGGAGAACAGUGGCAGCAAAGGAGUGUCGGGAAGCACCAAGCUGUUGAUAUGUCUGUGGCUGCUGGCGCUAUUUGUCCGGUCAUCUGGUAGGGAUUAAGACCACCAUCGACCCACAAACUGACUAAUUUCCUUAUUGAUUGUUAAUUCGUGGCUAUGUUUGCUGUUUUUGGUUUUGUAGAUGCAGAAGAGGUGGGACUGAAAGGCUGUGAGUUCAAUGACUGGAGCAAGAAGUGGAAAGGGAUAUGCGUGAUACGUGGCACUUGCAGCAAGGCCUGCAGAGCCGAGGGCUGGGAAAAAGGAACCUGCUUAUACAUCAAUCACUGCCUCUGCUUCAAGAACUGCUCCCCGUCCCCGGCUACUUGAUUCAUGUACUCACUAUUGUGAUGUGAGUGCAUAUAUAUAUACUCCCUUAGUUGUCUUAGUUCAUGUUGUCUUAGUUCAACAUGUAUGGCUUAAGACAAGAGUAAGUGGUCUUAUAUAUAUAGAUGCAGGGCGUACAUGCAUGCAUGCAUGCGUUGUGACUACAAUUUUUUGCCUAAUAAAUUUGGGGCAGUAUUCAUCAACUGCAAUCUUUUACCCGCUUUUAAUUUGCUUGUGAUGGUGAUUGGCUCUCACUCGCCACUUACCGCUUCGUG